UACGGGGGGGGGCAAGCGUUGUUCGGAAUUACUGGGCGUAAAGGGCGCGUAGGCGGCCUGCUAAGUCACACGUGAAAUCCCUCGGCUCAACCGGGGAACUGCGUGUGAUACUGGCGGGCUUGAAUUCGGGAGAGGGAUGUGGAAUUCCAGGUGUAGCGGUGAAAUGCGUAGAUAUCUGGAGGAACACCGGUGGCGAAGGCGGCAUCCUGGACCGAGAUUGACGCUGAGGCGCGAAAGCUAGGGGAGCAAACAGGGG
rnacentral:rRNA from 1 species